CCUCUCCAUAUGGUGAGAAUGACUGCCCGCUUCUCAUGAGAAUCAAAUAAACUUUCUCCUUAUACCUUGAGAGACCUCUGAGAUUUAUUGGAUAAAUAUAUUACAAAUGAUUAAGAAUGGUUAUAAUAGAAGCAGGGAAUGCAUGAAAGUUUGUGCAUGCUUAUGAUCAGAACAAGCCCCGGAAUGUGAAAGCUGAGGAUAGUACUUGCCUACAAGGAAUCUGAUCCUUAUUGAAAUCUACUCUGAUGCCCUUCUCAGUUGUCAAAGUGGGGGUUCUGGAUCCUUGCAAGCUAUGCAAGUGGAGCAUAAUCCCUGAUAGAUCCUUCCAACCUGGAAAAGCUUUGGGUUUGGACUAUGUGAGUGCCAUCCAACAACUAAUCCAGCUAUAUUUGGAAAGGUUGGACACCAAGUGAUGAAUUAUUCUGGUCACAAAAAUUUAAACUACCUGGCACAGGAAAGCUGUAAACUGCAUUGCCAGAGGAAAUAGUCACAUUAACAAAAUCACCAAUUCUCAGUGAGAUCAUCUAGCAUAAAAUCAUUAUAAAAUAGUAAAAGCUCUUUUGACCAAAUGUAAGUAUUUCUGUCUACUGCUGGGAUGGAAAUCUGAUGCCCUAGCAAGCAGGGAGAACUAUCAACUUCUUUUUUUAAAAAAAUUAU